rnacentral:rRNA from 1 species
CCCAGACAGCCAGGAUGUUGGCUUAGAAGCAGCCAUCAUUUAAAGAAAGCGUAAUAGCUCACUGGUCGAGUCGGCCUGCGCGGAAGAUGUAACGGGGCUAAACCAUGCACCGAAGCUGCGGCAGCGACACUGUGUGUUGUUGGGUAGGGGAGCGUUCUGUAAGCCUGCGAAGGUGGCCUGUGAGGGUUGCUGGAGGUAUCAGAAGUGCGAAUGCUGACAUAAGUAACGAUAAAGCGGGUGAAAAGCCCGCUCGCCGGAAGACCAAGGGUUCCUGUCCAACGUUAAUCGGGGCAGGGUGAGUCGACCCCUAAGGCGAGGCCGAAAGGCGUAGUCGAUGGGAAACGGGUUAAUAUUCCCGUACUUGGUGUUACUGCGAAGGGGGGACGGAGAAGGCUAUGUUGGCCGGGCGACGGUUGUCCCGGUUUAAGCGUGUAGGUGUGUGUUCCAGGUAAAUCCGGUUCACUUUAACACUGAGGCGUGAUGACGAGGCACUACGGUGCUGAAGCAACAAAUGCCCUGCUUCCAGGAAAAGCCUCUAAGCAUCAGGUAACAUCAAAUCGUACCCCAAACCGACACAGGUGGUCAGGUAGAGAAUACCAAGGCGCUUGA